rnacentral:rRNA from 1 species
GUCACACUGGAACUGAGACACGGUCCAGACUCCUACGGGAGGCAGCAGUGGGGAAUAUUGGACAAUGGGCGAAAGCCUGAUCCAGCCAUGCCGCGUGUGUGAAGAAGGUCUUCGGAUUGUAAAGCACUUUAAGUUGGGAGGAAGGGCAGUAAGCUAAUACCUUGCUGUUUUGACGUUACCGACAGAAUAAGCACCGGCUAACUUCGUG